CAGGCUUAACACAUGCAAGUCGAGGGGCAGCAUUUUAGUUUGCUUGCAAACUAAAGAUGGCGACCGGCGCACGGGUGAGUAACACGUAUCCAACCUGCCGAUAACUCGGGGAUAGCCUUUCGAAAGAAAGAUUAAUAUCCGAUAGUAUAUUAAAACCGCAUGGUUUUACUAUUAAAGAAUUUCGGUUAUCGAUGGGGAUGCGUUCCAUUAGUUUGUUGGCGGGGUAACGGCCCACCAAGACAACGAUGGAUAGGGGUUCUGAGAGGAAGGUCCCCCACAUUGGAACUGAGACACGGUCCAAACUCCUACGGGAGGCAGCAGUGAGGAAUAUUGGUCAAUGGACGAGAGUCUGAACCAGCCAAGUAGCGUGAAGGAUGACUGCCCUAUGGGUUGUAAACUUCUUUUAUAUGGGAAUAAAGUAUUCCACGUGUGGGAUUUUGUAUGUACCAUAUGAAUAAGGAUCGGCUAACUCCGUGCCAGCAGCCGCGGUAAUACGGAGGAUCCGAGCGUUAUCCGGAUUUAUUGGGUUUAAAGGGAGCGUAGGUGGAUUGUUAAGUCAGUUGUGAAAGUUUGCGGCUCAACCGUAAAAUUGCAGUUGAAACUGGCAGUCUUGAGUACAGUAGAGGUGGGCGGAAUUCGUGGUGUAGCGGUGAAAUGCUUAGAUAUCACGAAGAACUCCGAUUGCGAAGGCAGCUCACUAGACUGCAACUGACACUGAUGCUCGAAAGUGUGGGUAUCAAACAGGAUUAGAUACCCUGGUAGUCCACACAGUAAACGAUGAAUACUCGCUGUUUGCGAUAUACAGUAAGCGGCCAAGCGAAAGCAUUAAGUAUUCCACCUGGGGAGUACGCCGGCAACGGUGAAACUCAAAGGAAUUGACGGGGGCCCGCACAAGCGGAGGAACAUGUGGUUUAAUUCGAUGAUACGCGAGGAACCUUACCCGGGCUUAAAUUGCAUUUGAAUAAUCUGGAAACAGGUUAGCCGCAAGGCAAAUGUGAAGGUGCUGCAUGGUUGUCGUCAGCUCGUGCCGUGAGGUGUCGGCUUAAGUGCCAUAACGAGCGCAACCCUUAUCUUUAGUUACUAACAGGUCAUGCUGAGGACUCUAGAGAGACUGCCGUCGUAAGAUGUGAGGAAGGUGGGGAUGACGUCAAAUCAGCACGGCCCUUACGUCCGGGGCUACACACGUGUUACAAUGGGGGGUACAGAAGGCAGCUACCUGGCGACAGGAUGCUAAUCCCAAAAACCUCUCUCAGUUCGGAUCGAAGUCUGCAACCCGACUUCGUGAAGCUGGAUUCGCUAGUAAUCGCGCAUCAGCCAUGGCGCGGUGAAUACGUUCCCGGGCCUUGUACACACCGCCCGUCAAGCCAUGAAAGCCGGGGGUACCUGAAGUACGUAAACGCAAGGAGCGUCCUAGGGUAAAACUGGUAAUUG
rnacentral:rRNA from 1 species